rnacentral:lncRNA from 1 species
CUUGAAUUUUGAUAAAGGAAUAUUAUUAUUUAAAUCAAAUCUACACUUUACUUUUUAUAUUUAGUUCAUGAAUAUUCAAAAGGUUCUUACUUUAAAUUACGUAUUUGAUUGGUCAUUGUCAUUUUCGCGGUCAAUUUAUAUUUGGUAUUGACCAGGUAGAUUUGCACGGGAGAUUGAGAAUUACAGUCGCAUGAUAUUGUAUCUCGAAUUUAUAUACCUGUAUUAUUGUGGACACAACAUAUUAUCUAUUUAAUGUAAGUUAACUUCUUUGUUAUAUAAUUAAUAUUUUCACAUGUAAAUGAUAAAGUUAGCAAAGUUUAUAUUAUAUGAUUUCGUUCUCCUCGUAAAGUUUGGUUAUUACAUAAGUAUGAUAGAUGUACCCGAGAAUAUUUUAUUUAGCUUCGUGCUUCAUAUAUUUUAUUGUCUAUCGUUAAUUUGUCACGAUAGAAUAUAUAGUACAAGAUAAUUUGCAUAGCUAUUUGAUUAUUGACACAGAUAAUUUAUAUUUCAUAAAUGGCGGCAUAUUAGACAAAAUAAGGAAAAGUGUUAAAGUUGAUAUUUAUUAGUACACUUAUAUUAUACAUUGUAGUGAUAGAAGUUUAACUAUAAAUGAAUCUGAGUUAUUUUGUCAUAUUGUAUAUUUUAAUAUUUUACGAGUUCGAAUGUUUAUGAUUGCAAUUUUGGUUUUAGGACUCCAUUGAUGUAAUUAUAUACAGAGUAUAAAUUGUGAACUGUGCCUAUUCCUUGCCAGUAAAAACUCACUCCACAAGUGGUAAGAGUCAAUCUAUUUUUAAU